rnacentral:misc_RNA from 1 species
AUUGUGUGGGCCGCAGAUGUG